rnacentral:rRNA from 1 species
UACGUAGGGGGCUAGCGUUGUCCGGAAUCAUUGGGCGUAAAGCGCGCGUAGGCGGCUUUGUAAGUUAGAGGUGAAAGCCCGGAGCUCAACUCCGGAACUGCCUUUAAAACUGCAUCGCUUGAAUCCAGGAGAGGUGAGUGGAAUUCCGAGUGUAGAGGUGAAAUUCGUAGAUAUUCGGAAGAACACCAGUGGCGAAGGCGGCUCACUGGACUGGUAUUGACGCUGAGGUGCGAAAGCGUGGGGAGCAAACAGG